rnacentral:rRNA from 1 species
GACAGAGGGUGCAAACGUUGUUCGGAAUUACUGGGCGUAAAGCGCGUGUAGGCUGCUCCGAAAGUCAGGUGUGAAAGCCCCGGGCUCAACCUGGGAAGUGCACUUGAAACCUCGGAGCUUGAAUGUCGGAGAGGGCAGCGGAAUUCUCGGUGUAGAGGUGAAAUUCGUAGAUAUCGAGAGGAACACCAGUGGCGAAGGCGGCUGCCUGGACGACGAUUGACGCUGAGACGCGAAAGCGUGGGGAGCAAACAGGAUUAGAUACCCUGGUAGUCCACGCCGUAAACGAUGGGUGCUAGGUGUCGCGGGCUUUGACUCCUGCGGUGCCGUAGCUAACGCAUUAAGCACCCCGCCUGGGGAGUACGGUCGCAAGACUAAA